ACAGGUUCUCGGCCUUUUGGCUAAGAUCAAGUGUACUAUCUAUUCUGAUGAUUACCUUUUUAAGUGGUUUACAUUUUGUUGUUGUUUUUUAUCUUUUUUUUUUCAAGACAAGGUUUGAAAUUGCUCUGUAGACCCAGCUGACCUCAAACUUACAGUGAUCUGCCUGCCUCUGCAUCCUGAGUGCUGGGAUUAAAGGUGUGAAUCACUA
rnacentral:snRNA from 1 species